rnacentral:rRNA from 1 species
GACGAACGCUGGCGGCGUGCUUAACACAUGCAAGUCGAACGAUGAAGCCGGAGCUUGCUCCGGUGGAUUAGUGGCGAACGGGUGAGUAACACGUGAGCAAUCUGCCCUUGACUCUGGGAUAACUGCGGGAAACUGUAACUAAUACCGGAUACGACACCUUGGGGCAUCCCAGGGUGUGGAAAGAAUUUCGGUCAAGGAUGAGCUCGCGGCCUAUCAGCUAGUUGGUGAGGUAAUGGCUCACCAAGGCGACGACGGGUAGCCGGCCUGAGAGGGUGACCGGCCACACUGGAACUGAGACACGGUCCAGACUCCUACGGGAGGCAGCAGUGGGGAAUAUUGAACAAUGGGCGAAAGCCUGAUGCAGCAACGCCGCGUGAGGGAUGAAGGCCUUCGGGUUGUAAACCUCUUUUAGCAGGGAAGAAGCGAAAGUGACGGUACCUGCAGAAAAAGCACCGGCUAACUACGUGCCAGCCGCCGCAGUAA